rnacentral:tRNA from 13 species
GGUUCGGUGGUCUAGGGGUAUGAUUCUCGCUUUGGGUGCGAGAGGUCCCGGGUUCAAAUCCCGGUCGAACCC